rnacentral:tRNA from 1 species
GUGUCAGUGGUUUAGUGGUAAAAUCCAUCGUUGCCAUCGAUGGGCCCCGCGUUCUAUUCGCGGCUGAUGCA